UUCAGGAAAUGGGUCGGUGGGCUUGGGGGUUGUUUGAGGAGUAACUUCUCCUUCCCUGCAGGCAUGACCCUUGUUUGAUCUUUGGCCGUAUCUGGUGAGCUGCCCUGUUCAGCAUGUCAGAACAGAGAAUUGCGCAUCCUCCGGCACGUUCUCCUCGCCCUGUUGCUGACUGGUGUCUUCACCUGCGGUUGGUUGUUACGCAGCAAAAGCCAGGCCCUGGUGUCUGUCCAUAACAACAGGUGUUUGAGGCAUUAACUCCAACCAGUCUCUCACAGAUGGUUAUGAAGUUCUGGUACAAAUGGACACCAUUAUCCUUAAGAUACUCUGGAAAGUGAUAGCUCUACAGAAGAGGUGCGCUGGUGCCAAAGACACUUCUCAGUGGAAGAUACGCUUACAGCUAUUCUGCAGGCAACAGCUGAAUACAGGAGGGAAAAUUGUCCAGUCUGCCAUUGUUUGGGAUACUUUCUGCACAACUAAACAGGACUGUCAUGCAACACAGGGAAAAUAAUUUUAUUCCCAUUGGACAAAUUACUAUCCUACAAGUACAUUUUGGUAAGCAGCUACAAAUUACUAUUAUGUUUUCUGCUUUAUAAAC